CCCGGUGAUUAUUUAACGGCCGCAGUUAAGAGCUGUGCUAAGGUAGCGUAGUAAGUUGUCCUUUAAAUGGGGAAAGGAAUGAAUGGUUUGACGUGAACGUAACUGUCUCUAGUAAAUAGUGUGAAAUUUUCUUUUCAGUGAAAAGCCUGAAAUUUUAUUAAAAGACGAGAAGACCCUGUCGAGCUUGAAUGAAGAGUAAGGUAGCUUAUUUGGAAAGUUUGGUUGGGGCAACCUAGGAGCAAGGGAAGACUCCUUGAAGUAAUAAUGAUCCAAAAGUUUUGAAUAGAGAAAAAGCUACCGCAGGGAUAACAGCGUUAUCUUUUCUGAGAGAACUAAUUGAAGAAAAG
rnacentral:rRNA from 1 species